rnacentral:rRNA from 1 species
AUUGAACGCUGGCGGCAGGCCUAACACAUGCAAGUCGAGCGGACGAACGGGGCUUGCUCGCGGAUUCCGCUGCCGACGGGCGGGUGAUUCAUACGUAUCUGCCCUGCCUCUAGGGAUGGGGUCCCGACACGGGCGCUAAUCCCAUACACGACCAUAUGGCGAACCUGGGGGAUCAUGGGACCUCACGCUUUUUGCUGAGCCUAGGACGGAUUAGCUAGUUGGUUGGGUAAAGGCUUACCAAGGCGACGAUGCGUAACUGGUCUGAGAGGAUGAUCAGUCACACUGGAACUGAGACACGGUCCAGACUCCUACGGGAGGCAGCAGUGGGGAAUAUUGGGCAAUGGGCGAAAGCCUGAUCGAGCAAUGCCGCGUGAGUGAAGAAGGUCUUCGGAUUGUAAAGCACUGUAAGUAGGGAGGAAGAAAAGUACGUUUAUACCUGGCUGUUUUGACGGUACCAAAAGAAUAAGCACCGGCUAACUUCGUG